GACGAACGCUGGCGGCGCGCUUAACACAUGCAAGUCGAGCGAGAACCGGUCCUUCGGGACCGGGGAAAGCGGCGAACGGGUGAGUAACACGUGGGUAAUCCACCCUCGGUACUGGGAUAGCCCGGGGAAACCCGGAUUAAUACCGGAUGGCCCAGCAGCCCCUCGGGGCGGCUGGAAAAGGUAGCUUCGGCCUCCGACCGAGGACGAGCCCGGGGCGGAUUAGCUGGUUGGGGGGGUAACGGCCUACCAAGGCGACGAUCCGUAGCUGGUCUGAGAGGACGAUCAGCCACACUGGGACUGAGACACGGCCCAGACUCCUACGGGAGGCAGCAGUGGGGAAUCUUGCGCAAUGGGCGAAAGCCUGACGCAGCGACGCCGCGUGAGGGAAGAAGGCUUUCGGGUUGUAAACCUCUUUCAGGAGGGACGAAGCUACUCGGGUGAAUAGCCCAGAGGGUGACGGUACCUCCAGAAGAAGCCCCGGCUAACUACGUGCCAGCAGCCGCGGUAAUAC
rnacentral:rRNA from 1 species